UGGAAGAGUAAGAUAGAGAGGCAUGAAAUGAUGAAGACUUUUAUGGGGUUCGGACUAAAGAGAAUAAUUUUAAAAACUGAACAAUUAGCCCAG